GACGAACGCUGGCGGCGUGCUUAACACAUGCAAGUCGAACGGAAAGGCCCUGCUUUUGUGGGGUGCUCGAGUGGCGAACGGGUGAGUAACACGUGAGUAACCUGCCCUUGACUUUGGGAUAACUUCAGGAAACUGGGGCUAAUACCGGAUAGGAGCUCCUGCUGCAUGGUGGGGGUUGGAAAGUUUCGGCGGUUGGGGAUGGACUCGCGGCUUAUCAGCUUGUUGGUGGGGUAGUGGCUUACCAAGGCUUUGACGGGUAGCCGGCCUGAGAGGGUGACCGGCCACAUUGGGACUGAGAUACGGCCCAGACUCCUACGGGAGGCAGCAGUGGGGAAUAUUGCACAAUGGGCGGAAGCCUGAUGCAGCAACGCCGCGUGCGGGAUGACGGCCUUCGGGUUGUAAACCGCUUUCGCCUGUGACGAAGCGUGAGUGACGGUAAUGGGUAAAGAAGCACCGGCUAACUACGUGCUAGCAGCCGCGGUGAUACGUAGGGUGCGAGCGUUGUCCGGAUUUAUUGGGCGUAAAGGGCUCGUAGGUGGUUGAUCGCGUCGGAAGUGUAAUCUUGGGGCUUAACCCUGAGCGUGCUUUCGAUACGGGUUGACUUGAGGAAGGUAGGGGAGAAUGGAAUUCCUGGUGGAGCGGUGGAAUGCGCAGAUAUCAGGAGGAACACCAGUGGCGAAGGCGGUUCUCUGGGCCUUUCCUGACGCUGAGGAGCGAAAGCGUGGGGAGCGAACAGGCUUAGAUACCCUGGUAGUCCACGCUGUAAACGGUGGGUACUAGGUGUGGGGUCCAUUCCACGGGUUCCGUGCCGUAGCUAACGCUUUAAGUACCCCGCCUGGGGAGUACGGCCGCAAGGCUAAAACUCAAAGGAAUUGACGGGGCCCCGCACAAGCGGCGGAGCAUGCGGAUUAAUUCGAUGCAACGCGUAGAACCUUACCUGGGUUUGACAUGGAUCGGGGGUGCUCAGAGAUGGGUGUGCCUCUUUUGGGGUCGGUUCACAGGUGGUGCAUGGCUGUCGUCAGCUCGUGUCGUGAGAUGUUGGGUUAAGUCCCGCAACGAGCGCAACCCUUGUUCACUGUUGCCAGCACGUUAUGGUGGGGACUCAGUGGAGACCGCCGGGGUCAACUCGGAGGAAGGUGGGGAUGACGUCAAGUCAUCAUGCCCCUUAUGUCCAGGGCUUCACGCAUGCUACAAUGGCUGGUACAGAGAGUGGCGAGCCUGUGAGGGUGAGCGAAUCUCGGAAAGCCGGUCUCAGUUCGGAUUGGGGUCUGCAACUCGACCUCAUGAAGUCGGAGUCGCUAGUAAUCGCAGAUCAGCAACGCUGCGGUGAAUACGUUCCCGGG
rnacentral:rRNA from 1 species